rnacentral:rRNA from 1 species
CCUACGGGUGGCAGCAGUAGGGAAUCUUCCACAAUGGGCGAAAGCCUGAUGGAGCAACACCGCGUGUGUGAUGAAGGCUUUAGGGUCGUAAAGCACUGUUGUAUGGGAAGAAAUGCUAGAAUAGGGAAUGAUUCUAGUUCGACGGUACCAUACCAGAAAGGGACGGCUAAAUACGUGCCAGCAGCCGCGGUAAUACGUAUGUCCCGAGCGUUAUCCGGAUUUAUUGGGCGUAAAGCGAGCGCAGACGGUUGAUUAAGUCUGAUGUGAAAGCCCGGAGCUCAACUCCGGAAUGGCAUUGGAAACUGGUUAACUUGAGUGUUGUAGAGGUAAGUGGAACUCCAUGUGUAGCGGUGGAAUGCGUAGAUAUAUGGAAGAACACCAGUGGCGAAGGCGGCUUACUGGACAACAACUGACGUUGAGGCUCGAAAGCGUGGGGAGCAAACAGGAUUAGAUACCCUUGUAGUC